GACGAACGCUGGCGGCGUGCUUAACACAUGCAAGUCGAACGGAAAGGCCCUGCUUUUGUGGGGUGCUCGAGUGGCGAACGGGUGAGUAACACGUGAGUAACCUGCCCUUGACUUUGGGAUAACUUCAGGAAACUGGGGCUAAUACCGGAUAGGAGCUCCUGCUGCAUGGUGGGGGUUGGAAAGUUUCGGCGGUUGGGGAUGGACUCGAGGCUUAUCAGUUUGUUGGUGGGGUAGUGGCUUACCAAGGCUUUGACGGGUAGCCGGCCUGAGAGGGUGACCGGCCACAGUGGGACUGAGAUACGGCCCAGACUCCUACGGGAGGCAGCAGUGGGGAAUAUUGCACAAUGGGCGGAAGCCUGAUGCAGCAACGCCGCGUGCGGGAUGACGGCCUUCGGGUUGUAAACCGCUUUCGCCUGUGACGAAGCGUGAGUGACGGUAAUGGGUAAAGAAGCACCGGCUAACUACGUG
rnacentral:rRNA from 1 species